rnacentral:rRNA from 1 species
CCUACGGGUGGCAGCAGUGGGGAAUAUUGCACAAUGGGGGAAACCCUGAUGCAGCGACGCCGCGUGAGUGAAGAAGUAUUUCGGUACGUAAAGCUCUAUCAGCAGGGAAGAAAAUGACGGUACCUGACUAAGAAGCCCCGGCUAACUACGUGCCAGCAGCCGCGGUAAUACGUAGGGGGCAAGCGUUAUCCGGAUUUACUGGGUGUAAAGGGAGCGUAGACGGCAGCGCAAGUCUGGAGUGAAAUCCCAUGGCUUAACCAUGGCACUGCUUUUGAAACUGUGCAGCUAGAGUGCAGGAGAGGUAAGCGGAAUUCCUAGUGUAGCGGUGAAAUGCGUAGAUAUUAGGAGGACCACCAGUGGCGAAGGCGGCUUACUGGACUGUAACUGACGUUGCGGCUCGAAAGCGUGGGGAGCAAACAGGAUUAGAUCCCCUUGUAGUC